rnacentral:tRNA from 1 species
UCCCUGAUGGCCCAGUGGUUAGGGUGCUGAGCUUCCACUGCAGGAGACAUGGGUUCGAUCCCUAGUCAGGGAA